rnacentral:rRNA from 1 species
GAUGAACGCUGGCGGCGUGCCUAACACAUGCAAGUCGUACGAGCUCGAUCUUCGGAACGGGUUAGUGGCGCACGGGUGAGUAACACGUAGGUGACCUACCCCAGAGUGGGGGAUAACUUCUCGAAAGAGAGGCUAAUACCGCAUACACUCGGUCAUUCAUUUGGCCGAGCAAAGCUCCGGCGCUUUGGGACGGGCCUGCGUCCGAUUAGCUAGUUGGUAGGGUAAUGGCUUACCAAGGCUUUGAUCGGUAGCUAGUCUGAGAGGACGAUCAGCCACACUGGCACUGACACACGGGCCAGACUCCUACGGGAGGCAGCAGUGAGGAAUAUUGGGCAAUGGGCGAAAGCCUGACCCAGCAACGCCGCGUGAGGGAUGAAGGCCUUCGGGUUGUAAACCUCUUUUCUGGGAGAAGAGACAAGGACGGUAUCCCAGGAAUAAGUCUCGGCUAACUACGUGCCAGCAGCCGCGG